rnacentral:rRNA from 1 species
AUGUUUGGUCAGCGCGUGGGGUUCCUCAAGUUCAAAGCCGACAUCGUCGACGAGGAAACCAAAGCCAAGAUUCCAGGGACUGUCUUUGCAAGAGGGCCUGCUGUUGCUGUGUUGAUUCUUUUGGAGUCCAAAGGGCAAACCUAUGCUGUUCUCACUGAACAGAAACGGGUUGUUGCCCACAGCACGCUGCGGCGACGUCUUCUCCUCUCUUCGCGGGUGCUCGCCGGUCCAUGCUGCCACCCAUCAAUGUUGACAAGUCACCAUCUAAAAGUUUGUCCGAGGAGAAACUGCUGGUUUCGAACGCUAGCAAGCUCCUGGCAUGGACAAGACAGAAGUGGGAAGGCUAUUGUUGCUCCAUGCUCCCUGCUUGACUUAAAUAUAUGGACCUGA